UUUCUUCCCCCUCCCAUCUUCCCCAAACCCACCAUGCCCCCAUCAUCCACCUCUUCCUCCGCUCCCACUACCUGCAACCCAUAAAAGAAAAGAAAAAAAAAACUCAUCUCCCUUUCCCUGCAACCCAGAUCCCUUCUUCUCCAAUGAGUGGAUUUAAGGAGUGAGGUGUGUAGAUGAGGGAAGUAGAUGCGUGUGAGGGUGGGUGCGCUUUUUUCUUUUUCUUUCUGGGUUGCAGGUUGGGGUAGUGGAAGAUGGGUGCACGGCGGAGGUGGAGCUGGGUGCAGAGAAAAAGGUGGAGGAUGGGUGCGGACCGUCGGACUUCGCCAGGUAUGCUAUCUGGGUUUUUUUGUUUGGGGGGGUGGUAAUGGAUCGGGGUUUCAGAGGUGUUUUUUUUUUUUGGUUCAAGGUUGCCGGGGGGAUGAUGGGAUCGGGUUUCAUAGCUAUUUUUUUUCUUGAACCUUCUUCCCUUCUCUCCUGUGCAUCUGCAAACUAGUGCAACAAUCAUUAGACUGCAUUGGAAUUCCAGUGCAAUCAUUGGAAAAACAAAAACAGCAAGAAUAAGGUUUUCAAACUAGCAGCGGCCGGGUUGCAGUGGUUCGACAAAUCCAACUCAUGGGAAUCGACUGUGGGUAUGAGACUAGUCGGUGCGGAAACGAAACACGGCAAAGUUCAGGGCGAGUCUGACAACGGGUGAUAGUGGACGGCGGCGGUGAGAACCGAUUCCAGUGAUGCGGGACAGAAACGGGGCAACAAGGAUGGCGAUGGAGCAGCGGGCAUGUAAUCCUGGGUCAGUCGGAUCUGGGUGAUGGGUUAGCGCGGGAGAUUCAAGCAGGUGGCGAGACUGGUUCGAGGCGUUGGACAGAUCGGUGGCUGGUGGUCUGAUGCUUGAUGGUGGUGGUCGAUCUGGUAGGGGAUUAAUGGGAUCUGGGGUUUGAAUAAUGGGAACUGGGUUUUUGCGGCGGAGGGGGUGGUAACGGAUCGGGGUUUCAGAGGUGUUUUUUUUUUUUUUUUUGGUUCAAGGUUGCAGAGGGGGGGAUAAUGGGAUCGGGUUUCAGAGAUUUUUUUUUGGUUAAGGGUUCAGGUACGAGG
rnacentral:lncRNA from 1 species